CACGUAGGGCGCAAGCGUUGUCCGGAAUUAUUGGGCGUAAAGAGCUCGUAGGCGGUCUGUUGCGUCCGCUGUGAAAACUCGGGGCUUAACCCCGAGCCUGCAGUGGAUACGGGCAGACUAGAGGUAGGUAGGGGAGAAUGGAAUUCCCGGUGUAGCGGUGAAAUGCGCAGAUAUCGGGAGGAACACCGGUGGCGAAGGCGGUUCUCUGGGCCUUUCCUGACGCUGAGACGCGAAAGCGUGGGGAGCGAACCGG
rnacentral:rRNA from 1 species